ACACAUGCAAGUCGAGCGAUGAACAUUCAAUGAUCCCUUCGGGGUGAUUUGGCUGGGAUUAGCGGCGAACGGGUGAGUAACGCGUGAGGAACCUGCCUCUUACAACGGGAUAGCCUCGGGAAACCGGGAUUAAUACCGUAUAAGACUCCGACAUCUCCUGAUGAUGAAGUCAAAGCGUAUGCGGUAAGAGAUGGCCUCGCGUCUGAUUAGUUAGUUGGCGGGGUAACGGCCCACCAAGACGACGAUCAGUAACCGGCCUGAGAGGGUGAACGGUCACAUUGGAACUGAGACACGGUCCAAACUCCUACGGGAGGCAGCAGUGGGGAAUCUUGCACAAUGGGGGCAACCCUGAUGCAGCGACGCCGCGUGAGCGAUGAAGGUUUUCGAAUCGUAAAGCUCUGUCCUAUGGGAAGAUAAUGACGGUACCAUAGGAGGAAGCCCCGGCUAACUACGUGCCAGCAGCCGCGGUAAUACGUAGGGGGCGAGCGUUGUCCGGAAUUACUGGGCGUAAAGGGUUCGCAGGCGGCAUGGCAAGUCCGAUGUAAAAGGCGAAGGCUUAACCUUCGUAAGCAUCGGAAACUGUCAAGCUUGAGUGAAGGAGAGGCAAGUGGAAUUCCUAGUGUAGCGGUGGAAUGCGUAGAUAUUAGGAGGAAUACCGGUGGCGAAGGCGACUUGCUGGACUUCAACUGACGCUGAGGAACGAAAGCGUGGGUAGCAAACAGGAUUAGAUACCCUGGUAGUCCACGCCGUAAACGAUGAGUGCUAGGUGUCGGGGGUCAAACCUCGGUGCCGCCGUUAACACAAUAAGCACUCCGCCUGGGGAGUACGUGCGCAAGCAUGAAACUCAAAGGAAUUGACGGG
rnacentral:rRNA from 1 species